rnacentral:piRNA from 1 species
UGCAAGUUACCCUCCAGGGUUGGGC